rnacentral:rRNA from 1 species
UACGUAGGGGGCGAGCGUUGUCCGGAAUUAUUGGGCGUAAAGAGCGUGUAGGCUGUUCGGUAAGUCUGCCGUGAAAACCUGAGGCUCAACCUCGGGCGUGCGGUGGAUACUGCCGGGCUAGAGUCCGGAAGAGGCGAGUGGAACUCCUGGUGUAGCGGUGGAAUGCGCAGAUAUCAGGAGGAACACCAAUGGCGAAGGCAGCUCGCUGGAACGGUACUGACGCUGAGGUGCGAAAGCGUGGGGAGCGAACAGG